AGCGUUUGCUUCACUAGAAGAUGAGAGUGCGCAACAUUAGUUAGUUGGUAAGGUAAUGGCUUACCAAGACUAUGAUGUUUAGCCGGGUUGAGAAACUGACCGGCCACACUGGGACUGAGAUACGGCCCAGACUCCUACGGGAGGCAGCAGUAGGGAAUAUUCCACAAUGAGCGAAAGCUUGAUGGAGCGACACAGCGUGCACGAUGACGGCCCUCGGGUUGUAAAGUGCUGUUAUUAGGGAAGAACACUUGAUAGAGGAAAUGCUAUCAAGCUGACGGUACCUGAUCAGAAAGCGAUGGCUAACUAUGUGCCAGCAGCCGCGGUAAUACAUAGGUCGCAAGCGUUAUCCGGAAUUAUUGGGCGUAAAG
rnacentral:rRNA from 2 species